rnacentral:tRNA from 1 species
UAUAUUUUAAUGUAAGAGGUAUAAAGAUUUUUGAAAUUUUUUGAAAUAAUUUAAUUCUAUUAAAUAUAA